CCGCUGCUUCUCUCUGCCUCUUGCCUCUUUGCUGGAGGCCGGGGGUCUGGGGGCACCGGACUAGACCUCCGAGGGAUGUGCGGAUAAGCACUGUAACCACCACAGCUUCUUGUUUGGGAACAGAUAAACAACCAUCAGACAUCUAUUUGCUAGUGUCUAAGGAAGCUCUGCUUCGUGGUCGUCAUGCUUCAGUGGAGAGAGAAGUGAACAUCAGGACUGCCUGGUGGAGUGCGUGCCUGCCUCUUCUGAUCUUCAGUUUCUAAGCCUGUAAAACAGCUCUGAUACCUUCUUGUUUGGGCAUGGAGAAAGGCCUCAUUGAGAAAAUGAUCACGGAAGUCAACUGCAACAAGAGGAUCUCUGCUCGAGCAGCCGUGAGAGAGCCCUGACUCUGGGGCGCACCCUUCCUGUUUCAGCCUGUUUCCAGGUUUAUCCCAGAGGGUCUUGGAAUUUGGUUUAUGUCCCUCUCCUCUUCACAUUCACUGCCUCAUCAAACCAUUAUGAACCUGAACGUGACUAUAAUAUUAUUCACAAUAGUGGUGGGCUUUCUAUGCUAACCUAAAUAUUAAUAAAGAAUAUUUACUGAUUAAAAUA